UACAGAGGUCCCAAGCGUUGUUCGGAUUCACUGGGCGUAAAGGGUGCGUAGGCGGUCGGGGUAAGUCUUGAUGUGAAAUCUCACAGCUUAACUGUGAAACUGCAUUGGAUACUAUCCGGCUCGAGGAAUGGAGGGGAGACUGGAAUACUUGGUGUAGCAGUGAAAUGCGUAGAUAUCAAGUGGAACACCAGUGGCGAAGGCGAGUCUCUGGACAUUUCCUGACGCUGAGGCACGAAAGCCAGGGGAGCAAACGGG
rnacentral:rRNA from 1 species